GGGACCCUAUUCAAGUCAGUUCCACAGACAGCUAGAUUAGAGUUGUCUUCUAUUCAGUAGAACUGGCUGUGUUUAUCCCAGUGAGGAAGCGGUACCUAACAAUGUUGAUUUUGUAUCAGGUCAUCAGCUUGGCAUUCAUGUGACUCAGCAUGGACAGGGAGCUUGCAUCAGCGAGACUGCACCAUUAUCCUUCACCUGCCCACGUGGUUUGUUUCUACUCAUAACCACAAACUUAACUGUGCAAUCCAGCUCCACUUCAGGGGAAUGAGGAAAUUACAAACCCAAAGAAGAGCAGCAGGACUCAAGGACUAUAAGAUAUGAAUAGCAGAAGGAUGGGUGCCACAGAUGGAAGUGUGCCACAGAUAGAUGGGUGCCCUCUGAGCAUAGGGGAGGGACUGGAUGGAGAGGAAACUGCAAUUGGGGUGUAAAAUAAACAAAUAAAUAAAUUCA